GAAAAAUAAAUGGCUAGACCUGAAAAUGGCUGUCUAGCUAUGAUCAACAACCAACUUGACAGAUGCUUGAAGGAUUUUUUAAAAGAAUAAUGUGGAAAUAUUGUGCAAUCCAGGUGGGAAAAUCUCUUAGAGACUUACCCAAAAAGACAAACGGCUCUAAUUGCUGCCAAAGAGGCAAACCUAGUGUGCAUCCAUGGUGGGUGUCUUUUAGAACCCCUUACUAGUGGCUUUGCCAAAUUCGGUGGACACAUGGUGGGCACCCACAAGCAUCGCUACCUAUCGCUCCACCAAAGCCACAGUCCUUGCAGAGCAAGGGAAACAACUACUUCAAGAUCUCAGAGACUUUUUGAACUCCCGUCAUGCUUUAUAAAAAGCAUCCAAAGCUCUUUCCAGAGGUCUUUCCAAGCUUCAGCUCGUCCAUCACUGGGAGUGAGCUCAAUUAUGGCGCUCGCUCCCCACUGUGGUCAAUAACCUUGAUAACAAGACAGCGCAGAACCAGAUGUGCAUGAAGAUAUCAGGGCACCUUCAUCCUUCAAGAAAAGAGAGCAAUAAGGAUUGUGAGAAAAAAAAAGGGUCCUCAGAGAGAAGCGGGAAUAUCAGCAGGAACCCAAAACAGGAGGAUCACUAACAUAUGAGAGAGUUAGAGAGGGAGAGAGAGAGAGAGAGCCUGUAAGAUGUGCGUGACUUGCUGCAGAGAAGUCAGGCGCAGGAGAGCAGAACUGGGUAAUAACCGGAGCAGUUUAAUAGGCAAACACUAUACAAACACUAUACAACAAAACAUUUCACACACAGACAAAGGGGGAACAGAGGGUUAUAUACACGACAAGUAGUGAGGGAAUGUAAACCAGGUGUGUGGGAAAACAAGACAGAACAAAUGGAAAAUGAAAGGUGGAUCGGCGAUGGCGGGAAGACCGGUGACAUCGACCGGCGAACGCCACCCGAACAAGGAGAAGAACCGACUUCGGCGGAAGUCGUGACAGAGCCAGUAUGCCCCACUACCAGUCUGUAGUCAUGUAGUUUAUACACAUAUUGAGUGUGAGGUAGGCCGUCACGUGGAUAUAGCAGUGAGGAAGCUAUGUUUUUCUGUCUAGGGUGAGGGCUUUUAUUUGCAAAGUGGAUAUAAAUAGGUUCCAAAAGUGCUUACAGUAUGUACAAAAUAAUAAACAGGAUGAAGAGCAACAUACUGUAAGUCAGAACACAGAUGACCUACCCAAAAAGACUCAAUAAUGCCUGAUAGAAUUUAGCAUGCGCAGCAGCAGAGCCCAAUGUUAUAGUCAUUAUAUAGCCUACCUUGUGAGCUUGUGUGUUCCUUUGACUCACCAUAUUGUUAUCCUGACGGGCCACCGUACUUUGGAUAAACAGUGUUGUUAUGCUAGCUCACGUACCUGAGGAUGUUAGAGUUGUAGUAAUAAACCAGAGCCGUUUAUAAAGAACAAACCCACUGGGCAAAGACGUCAAUCCAACGUCUAUUCCACCUUGGUUCAACGUAAUUUCAUUGAAAUUAUGUGGAAACCAUGUUGAUUGAUCCAGUGUGUGCCCAGUGGGAAGUCUCGUUCUUUCAACACAACAUUGGCUACUAGGAUGGCUGUUCCUGCAACCGUCAUCCCCACCAUCUGUCUGCCUCCGGACCUGUUUCUACCUCUCCGAAGAUAUCCUUUCAUUCCCUGGGAGCAAUGGAAAGGCUAGUUUGAAACAUACCUUCUAACUAUAGGACUGGAUACUGUUGCUGGCGCCAGGAAACGUGCUAUCCUCCUGCAUUGCCUCGGAGAGGAGCAUUUCAAAACAUAUAUAUACUGAGACGGCUUCUGUUCAAACAACUACAUCAGCGAGCUGGGGAGUCAGCUAGCCAUGUUGUAACUGAUUUGAGGCCGCUAGCACAGGCAUGUAAUUUUGGAGCAAUACAAGACAAACUAAUAGGAGAUCAACUGAUUGAAAAAACGUCCAACCCCCGGGUACCAGUGGCGGAAAAAUUACUCAGUUGUCAUACUUGAGUAAAAGUAUAGACAGCUUAAUGGAAAGUUACUCAAGUAAAAGUGAUAGUCACCCGGACCUGGCCUGAUGACUCCAGGUAGUGCUGCUGCU
rnacentral:lncRNA from 1 species